AUCUUUCGUAGUUCAUAAGCCUAAUGAUUGUGUGUUCACAGGCAUGUGUGAGAUAUGCCUCCCUCAAACCUUGUUAUGACAUUGGCACAGCCAAAA
ensembl:snoRNA